GCUAACAGUCAACUCAAAAGAGAGUCCUUUCUAUAUAAACUACAGUCGGUAUAUCUCAUUGUGCACUUGCACUGUUGAUAGUUUUUAACCCAGGCACUGAACUUCUGUGUAUACUUGAAUGUUCUCAUGCUCUAGACCCAUGUUUAGGGUCUGUUCUAGUCUUUUGAGAUCUUCAUUUUCAAAUACUUUAGCUAUAUGUCCCAGCUUCAGGUUACAUACAAAUUUGAUAAGCAUGACUUCUAUGUCUCUAUCCAGUAGAACUUCUAGACACUCAUUCCAGAUUGAAAAUAACCAAUCAAAUGUAUUUAAUUGUUCAACUAUUAUAAAAAUCAACUUGACUACAGUGUCCAAAAUCAGUAAAGUGAAAAUCUUAUAAGGCACUCCCUGCCUCCUUAUCUUCUAUAAUACUUUAUUACACAGUGUUGAAACAGAUCAUUUUUCUUUUGGUUGAGUGCCUGAUGUAGUCAGCUUGAUCUAAGGGUCAUGUUAUAUGAAAACAUCCAUUUAUGUACCAAAAUCAGAACUGGCACAGUCAGAUGCUUUCACUGAGACACCAAUGAGAACUAAGACACAUUUCAGGCACAGAAAAAAGUACAAUAAUAAUAUAAUAAACACUCAUCUAUGCACCAUUUAGAAAUAAAACAUUAUUGUUAGAACUGAAGUUCCUUGUAUGUUCCUUGAAACUCAUUCUCGACCUUUCUUUCCCAGUGGUAACCUCUAUCCUGAACUUGG
rnacentral:lncRNA from 10 species